GGUUGGCGGGGUAACGGCCCACCAAGGCGACGAUCAGUAGGGGUUCUGAGAGGAAGGUCCCCCACAUUGGAACUGAGACACGGUCCAAACUCCUACGGGAGGCAGCAGUGAGGAAUAUUGGUCAAUGGGCGAGAGCCUGAACCAGCCAAGUAGCGUGCAGGAUGACGGCCCUAUGGGUUGUAAACUGCUUUUAUGCGGGGAUAAAGUGAGGGACGUGUCCUUCAUUGCAGGUACCGCAUGAAUAAGGACCGGCUAAUUCCGUGCCAGCAGCCGCGGUAAUACGGAAGGUCCGGGCGUUAUCCGGAUUUAUUGGGUUUAAAGGGAGCGUAGGCCGUGGAUUAAGCGUGUUGUGAAAUGCAGGUGCUCAACGUCUGCACUGCAGCGCGAACUGGUCCACUUGAGUGUGCACAACGCAGGCGGAAUUCGUCGUGUAGCGGUGAAAUGCUUAGAUAUGACGAAGAACUCCGAUUGCGAAGGCAGCUUGCGGGAGCACAACUGACGCUGAAGCUCGAAAGUGCGGGUAUCGAACAGGAUUAGAUACCCUGGUAGUCCGCACGGUAAACGAUGGAUGCCCGUUGUCAGGCUGUUUCAGCCUGGUGACCAAGCGAAAGCAUUAAGCAUCCCACCUGGGGA
rnacentral:rRNA from 1 species